CUACCUCAAGGUUGGGGAUAACAUUUGGAAACAGAUGCUAAUACCGAAUAAAACUUCGUAUCGCAUGAUACCAGGUUAAAAGGCGCUACGGCGUCACCUAGAGAUGGAUCCGCGGUGCAUUAGUUAGUUGGUGGGGUAAAGGCUUACCAAGACAAUGAUGCAUAGCCGAGUUGAGAGACUGAUCGGCCACAUUGGGACUGAGACACGGCCCAAACUCCUACGGGAGGCUGCAGUAGGGAAUCUUCCACAAUGGGCGAAAGCCUGAUGGAGCAACGCCGCGUGUGUGAUGAAGGCUUUCGGGUCGUAAAGCACUGUUGUAUGGGAAGAACAGCUAGAGUAGGGAAUGACUUUAGUUUGACGGUACCAUACCAGAAAGGGACGGCUAAAUACGUGCCAGCAGCCGCGGUAAUACGUAUGUCCCGAGCGUUAUCCGGAUUUAUUGGGCGUAAAGCGAGCGCAGACGGUUAAUUAAGUCUGAUGUGAAAGCCCGGAGCUCAACUCCGGAAAGGCAUUGGAAACUGGUUAACUUGAGUGCAGUAGAGGUAAGUGGAACUCCAUGUGUAGCGGUGGAAUGCGUAGAUAUAUGGAAGAACACCAGCGGCGAAGGCGGCUUACUGGACUGUAACUGACGUUGAGGCUCGAAAGUGUGGGUAGCAAACAGGAUUAGAUACCCUGGUAGUCCACACCGUAAACGAUGAACACUA
rnacentral:rRNA from 1 species